GUGAGGUAACGGCUCACCAAGGCAUCGACGGGUAGCUGGUCUGAGAGGAUGAUCAGCCACACUGGGACUGAGACACGGCCCAGACUCCUACGGGAGGCAGCAGUAGGGAAUAUUGCACAAUGGGCGAAAGCCUGAUGCAGCAACGCCGCGUGCGGGAAGAAGGCCCUAGGGUUGUAAACCGCUUUCAGCAGGGAAGAAAAUGACGGUACCUGCAGAAGAAGGUGCGGCCAACUACGUGCCAGCAGCCGCGGUGACACGUAGGCACCAAGCGUUGUCCGGAUUUAUUGGGCGUAAAGAGCUCGUAGGCGGUUCAGUUAGUCGGGUGUGAAAACUCUGGGCUCAACCCAGAGACGCCACUCGAUACUGCUGUGACUAGAGUGCGGUAGGGGAGCGGGGAAUUCCUAGUGUAGCGGUGAAAUGCGCAGAUAUUAGGAGGAACACCAGUGGCGAAGGUGCCGCUCUGGGCCGUAACUGACGCUGAGGAGCGAAAGCGUGGGUAGCAAACAGGAUUAGAUACCCUGGUAGUCCACGCCGUAAACGUUGGGCACUAGGUGUGGGUCUCAACCAACGAGAUCCGCGCCGUCGCUAACGCAUUAAGUG
rnacentral:rRNA from 1 species